rnacentral:rRNA from 1 species
GCAUUUGCAACCUGAGCUCAGACGUGAUUACCCGCUGAACUUAAGCAUAUCAUUUAGCGGAGGAAAAGAAACUAACUAGGAUUCCCUUAGUAACGCCGAGUGAAAA